rnacentral:rRNA from 1 species
UACAGAGGUGGCAAGCGUUGUUCGGAAUUACUGGGCGUAAAGGGCGCGUAGGCGGCCAUCUAAGUCAGACGUGAAAUCCCCCGGCUUAACCUGGGAACUGCGUCUGAUACUGGACGGCUCGAGUAUGGGAGAGGGAUGUAGAAUUCCAGGUGUAGCGGUGAAAUGCGUAGAUAUCUGGAGGAAUACCGGUGGCGAAGGCGGCAUCCUGGGCCAUUUACUGACGCUGAGGCGCGAAAGCUAGGGGAGCAAACGGG